UUGGUCGCCGCCGCCGCCGUCUCCUCCGCCACCGUCCGACGCCAGCCAGGUAGUCGUAAUGUGUAAACGGGUAAAAAUACCGAUAGGUGUAAAAGUGAACCCGUAAAUAAAUAUUAACCAGGGAUAAUUAACCUAGUUGAAUAUUAGUAUCGUUGGUACUAAACGAAGGGUUGUAGCCUUGUUUAAUUAAAACGAAACAUGAGGGACCAAAGUGAACAACUUGAAAGUUGUUGUGUUAAAAGAAAACAACACACACACACAUACACACACAUCGUGUGUGUUCAUGAACGAGCAGGGAAAGCUCCCAUGGAGCCAAAACCCUAAACUUCAUGAAAAUCUCCAAAUUGAAAGGCUAAACGAAGCCCAAAUUCACAACCGAACAUGAAUUAACGAUCACCUUCACAAGGGGAUCAUAAGGUAUGUCUUAAAACUUAGAUUUGGUGAUCUUGUUUGAAGUGGGUUAUGAUCAAUCCAUGAAAUUGUAUUAAAUUAAGCAUGUAGAGGUGUUAGAAACACCAAAUAGAACUUGUGUUAUAAAUAAUUUCAAGUAAUUGGGUGAAUUAGAAUGAAACCCAUUGCAUGAGUGUGAAGAUGAUGAUCAUGAUGAACUUGAAGAUGCUAUAGUGUAAUCUUGUGUUGUAUAAGGUGUUGUAUGAUAGACUAAGAUAGUUAAACUUGAAGUGAAAUUUAUGAUUAUGAGAUUUUGUUUGAAUGUGAUAGUUCAUAAGAUGAAAUAAGGAAGAACAUGCUUAAAGCUCUUGUAUUUUAUGCUUAGGAAGUAGUACGCAUGCCAAGUGUUUGAUAAAAUGUCUAAAAGACAAUAAUAAGUGAAAUUGUAUGCAAGUAAUGGGUAAACAUAUAUAGUUCAUGUGAAGAUUAUGUAGGGAUGAUGUCGAGUAUGCUUUAUGCUUGUUUAAAUGGAUUAAUGAUGUUGAGUAUGCUUUAUGUAGGUCGUAUGUUAGAUGUGAAUUUGAUAUGGUUGUUCAUAAGUAUAAGCAUAUAUGCUAAUAAGAAUGUGAAUGUAAUGACAUGAGUGUAUAGGAAUCAUGUCAAAAUGGAUGGGAGCGUUGAAGGCUAACGGGCUACGAAGACUCAAUCAAAUAAGCGAACGCAAAUACGGGUGCGCAAGGCUGUACAGGGUUAUAGAUAUUUCGUCAAGAAGCGUACGCGAUCGAAGAUCGAGUCAAGUCGUGGAUUGUACGUGGGUGUGGAUGUAGUCACUUAAUUUGAAAUAUGUAUGUUAGUUUUCAUUAAUUUAUAAAAAGAGAAUAAUGUAUUUAAGCGAAAUGAAGAGAAUCAUGAAAGAAAUUUUACAUAUGUAUUUUCCGCUGCGA
rnacentral:lncRNA from 1 species